UCCUGGGUGGCCUAGUGGUUAGGGACUUGGCAUUGUCACUGCUGUGGCUUGGGUUCAACCCCUAGCCCAGGAA
rnacentral:tRNA from 1 species